AAGUCGUAACAAGGUUUCCGUAGGUGAACCUGCGGAAGGAUCAUUGUCGAAUCCUGCACGGCAGAACGACCUGUGAACAUGUAAAACAAUCGGCUUCACCGGGACUAAAGUUUUGCUUUGGUCCUCGUGAAGCAUUGUUGACGUGUGUUCAUGUUCGUCCCAUUUGGGCGUCAUGGAUAUCAAGUUGACACAACAACCCCCGGCACGACAUGUGCCAAGGAGAACUAAACUUAAAGAGCUUGUGUUAUGACGCCCCGCUUUCGGUGUGCGCAUUGCACAUGGCUUCUUUGUAAACUCAAAACGACUCUCGGCAACGGAUAUCUCGGCUCACGCAUCGAUGAAGAACGUAGCAAAAUGCGAUACUUGGUGUGAAUUGCAGAAUCCCGUGAACCAUCGAGUUUUUGAACGCAAGUUGCGCCCGAUGCCAUCUGGUUGAGGGCACGUCUGCCUGGGCGUCACGCAUCACGUCGCCCCCACCAAACCAUCCUCAUUAGGGGAAGUGUUGUGUUGGGGCGGAGAUUGGUCUCCUGCGCUAAGGGCGUGGUUGGCCUAAAUAGGAGUCUUCUUACGAGAGACGCACGACUAGUGGUGGUUGAUACGACAGUCGUCUCGUGUUGUGCGUUUUAAAUUGUGAGCGGAUACUCUUGAAAUACCCUAACGUGUUGUCUUGUGACGAUGCCUCGAUCGCGACCCCAGGUCAGGCGGGACUACCCGCUGAGUUUAA
rnacentral:rRNA from 1 species